rnacentral:lncRNA from 1 species
UGCAGUGGAAAACAAUAUUGUUUUCCCAGAGCAUUCAGAGCAUUUCCUUUUGUUGUUGUUUUCUGAAGCCUCUUUGAUUUUUCAGGCUGUGAUCACGAUGUUUGGAUCUUAUUGUGGAUUGAUGGUUUUGAAUAUGUUAUGACAGUCAUAACGGACACCAUCAAGGAUUUCUUUGGACCACGCACUUCAUUCUCUGCAUAGUUAAAUCUGUAUAGUAUAAGCAGUUGACCAACUAGAGGGCAGCUUCCCCUGCUGAUCACCGAAGGGAAUCCUACGGAAUCUCUCCGAAAGCCUCCUGUUUCAGAGCCUUAAACUGGGCACCUUUCCACAUCAAAGCACUCCUGAGUGCUUGCUUCUUAAGGACUCACAUCUUCGGGAAAGAAUGGCCUCUACUUAGAAAUGAACACCUCUGGUCUAAUUUGCCUUGCAUGGCCCUCCCCAUCCCCCUAGUGUAUGUGCGGCCUGGGCCUGAUCUGACACAGCCGUGGCUAUCUGACGAGAUCGCAUGGAGAGGUGCGGGGAGCCUCAAAAGGACUGUAUUAAAAUGCGCUCGAUAUGCCGUGCAGGUAUGAUGUUGUAGAUCCAGCUUUGACACACAGGACAGUUGAAGGCCUCACGCAGAAUUCAUAAAACAUUGCAAACAUCUGAUGCUUGAGGAGGCAAGGCACAAAGGUAAGUAGUAUUAAAACUUUUAAACGAGACAAAAAAGUUUUAGCUGUGGAAUAGUUAAAUAUUGGUUAUGCAGCUACUACAGCGAGGAACUGAAAAAAAACAAUUAUGAUCUAAUUUAUAUAAUAUAAUUUAUAUAACAUGAUUACAUUUGUCUCUUUUCCAUUU